rnacentral:rRNA from 1 species
CUGUGAGCUCGAUGAGUAGGGCGGGACACGUGGUAUCCUGUCUGAAUAUGGGGGGACCAUCCUCCAAGGCUAAAUACUCCUGACUGACCGAUAGUGAACCAGUACCGUGAGGGAAAGGCGAAAAGAACCCCGGCGAGGGGAGUGAAAAAGAACCUGAAACCGUGUACGUACAAGCAGUGGGAGCACGCUUCGGCGUGUGACUGCGUACCUUUUGUAUAAUGGGUCAGCGACUUAUAUUCUGUAGCAAGGUUAACCGAAUAGGGGAGCCGAAGGGAAACCGAGUCUUAACUGGGCGUUAAGUUGCAGGGUAUAGACCCGAAACCCGGUGAUCUAGCCAUGGGCAGGUUGAAGGUUGGGUAACACUAACUGGAGGACCGAACCGACUAAUGUUGAAAAAUUAGCGGAUGACUUGUGGCUGGGGGUGAAAGGCCAAUCAAACCGGGAGAUAGCUGGUUCUCCCCGAAAGCUAUUUAGGUAGCGCCUCGUGAAUUCAUCUCCGGGGGUAGAGCACUGUUUCGGCAAGGGGGUCAUCCCGACUUACCAACCCGAUGCAAACUGCGAAUACCGGAGAAUGUUAUCACGGGAGACACACGGCGGGUGCUAACGUCCGUCGUGAAGAGGGAAACAACCCAGACCGCCAGCUAAGGUCCCAAAGUCAUGGUUAAGUGGGAAACGAUGUGGGAAGGCCCAGACAGCCAGGAUGUUGGCUUAGAAGCAGCCAUCAUUUAAAGAAAGCGUAAUAGCUCACUGGUCGAGUCGGCCUGCGCGGAAGAUGUAACGGGGCUAAACCAUGCACCGAAGCUGCGGCAGCGACACUAUGUGUUGUUGGGUAGGGGAGCGUUCUGUAAGCCUGUGAAGGUGU